UGGUAGACUGGAGACAUACACUUCAUUUGUGAUGUAGGUCUCCCGUGUGACUACC
rnacentral:pre_miRNA from 1 species